GCAGCCCGGGGCGCGCGCCCGCUCACGUACCGGCCGCCCGCGCGCCGAGGGGAAUCUGCCCCACGGCGCGGGGCGCCCCGGCAGCCAAGCCGCCAGGUGCUGCCCGGCAGGAGCGGGGCGAGGGCCCGCCCGCCCGCCAGUCAGCGUGUGAUGCUACCCCGACUGCUUCGGUGCUGCCGUAAGCCCGAACUCGAGAGUUUCUGAGGGCACCUGAGCAUAAAUAGAAGUUACUCGGACAGGUAAACUCCAUUCACACAGGCCGCAGGUACCACAAAACAACAGUCACUACUAGCUUACCUUGAAAAACCAAGCUGAGCACCGUGGUGGUUCAUCAGAGUUUCGACCAUUUCUGCCUUGGCUGGUGUGAACGGCCAAAGGCAGCAACAGCUCCAACCCUCCCAUUCUGACUUGCCGUACUUGCCUGCCAGAGACUUGGUUUCCUGCAAAUGCCUGUCAUGCCUGACUUUGAGCUCCGAGUAAAGCCGUUCCUAAAACGGAUUCCUUUCUAGCGUUUCUCUCCAUGCUCAUAGUCUUGAGUAAUAGCACGUGGCACACUUGGAGAAGACAUCUGUGAUCUACACUAAGCUUAUAGAAAUGUAAAUGUCUUUGAGACUUCUAACUCCCCUACGCUGGAAGGAGCCAAUGAUUCCAAAUACAAUUAGGUGAGAUGGCCAGGCACAUGGUGUGAUGGCAUAAGAGCUGUUUGCUGAGGAUAUAUUGCCAAAUACUUAAUGUGUAUUCUUUGGAAUUUACCAAAUUCUUCCAUCUAUUUGUCUAAGCAAUCUGCAGCCUGAAUGUAUCUAUUUAAAUAAUGAAAAUGACAACAGAAAGCAGAAGAAGAAAAAGUGGUGGAUCUGCCAAGUAUCUGCAACACAUUCUAUAUUAAGAAGAAGGAAACUAUAAAGGAUUCUAUUCCGUAUGGUGCCACAGCAGCUUUGUUCCAGUGUUUGGUAGUAAAAUCUCAGCCCCCAAAACCAGAUGUCUUUGUGGCAAAUAAAUCCCAUCUGCAAGACAGAAGUUUGUGGAGAGAACUUAAGGAUGCUCUCCUAUUCCCCAGCACACUGAAUUUUUAAAGGUGGGCUUCUUUCUAUCUAUCAUUCAAUUUUAAAUAGUUUGAGACCACAAAGCUGUAAGGAGGAAAGUGAAGGAUCCGGGACAAGGAUUGCACAGCAUAGUCCAAGUGAUAGGAAAUAGGGAGAAACAGAGAUGGAGAUGCCACAUGAUUCUAAAAUGAAAAUACCUGUACCCCCACUUGCAGCCCUUUUAAAAUUGUAUUGGAUACUAAUGUCUUAUUAUCGAGGUGUUUGGUGCUUGGGAAUAUGUAGAGGGCAGAGAUGUACAGAAGGCAUUUGGUAAAAAUGAGCAGUCGAUUGCUAUUAUUGCAACAACAAUUAUCUGCCAUUACAGGCGUUCCCUUUAUUCAAUCAGCUAAAGUGGCAAUCAACUGUAAACAAGUGAGUCACAAGGCAGUGGCUCACCUUGCUUGUCUUUCUGAGAUCUGCCAACUCGUGACAUGCAGAACCCUGAGGUGACACCCAGUGACCCCUGUGAAGGGGUACAGAAGAAAUGAGACAUGCAGAAGCCAGCAGUGUGGAUUAGAGAGCCUAAGGUAGUCAACAGCCACAGUUAAAGACUGGGCACAAGUCUAAGCAUAUCUAAGCUGGAAACGUACCUCUAGGUUGGAGGGAAAUGCCUUUUCAACCAGAAUUCAGAAAUGUCUUUUGGAGGUUUAAAUUAGUCAAGUAGGUCAGCCUCUUCUCAUAAGACAAAAUAAAACCAAAGUCCUUAACCAAGGGUUUUUCAGGAGUUUUUGAAGAACAAGUUAGGGAAACAUUUUUCAAUACGAAGAAGCUUCUGUGAACAGCUAGAAAGGGACAAGUGACAGGAUGUAAGGACACCACUCCUGCUUCCACAUGGCACCUGCCAUCACAAAUGUGUGGAAAGAGGAAACGACAAAGUUAUUUCUUACCUGAAUUGUAUGCACAUGCAAGCUUUAUAGUUUGACUUGUUUUGCUGUCAAAUGGUUCAACUUAUCCUGACAUUUGUACAGUCAUGAAAAUUACAUAAAGAAACUUUUGUCAAACUUGA